CACAUCCUUUUAAAUGCUUCUCGAUAAUAGAAGAUGGAGAAGCCCCAACCAUGGAUUGGAAAAUGAGGAACAAAGUAGGUUGGAAAAUGACCUAGAAAUGAGGAAGAAGGUGAGUUUGAAAAUGCUCCUAACAUUUCCAACAAUUAUCACACCAAUCAUUCCAAGUUUAAAAAUACCACUGGAUUUUGAAGAAAUUAUCCGCACCAGCUA
rnacentral:lncRNA from 1 species